GGCUGGUCUGAAGGCAGUGAGUUAUCUCACUUGAUUGUUCACAGUUACAGACUGAACUCCUUCUUCUACUCUUCCCCCUCUUCUCACGACUGCACUUGACUAGUCUUAG
ensembl:misc_RNA Y_RNA Y RNA